GUGAGCGUAGCUCAGAUGGUUAGAGCGCCAGGUUGUGGCCCUGGAGGUCGUGGGUUCGAGUCCCGUCGCUCACCCCA
rnacentral:tRNA from 1 species